rnacentral:lncRNA from 1 species
CCUUGGCAGAAGAACGAGGCGUUUUCUACUGCUUUUCCAGGCCCGCUAAUCAUCUUCUUAAAUCCAGUACCAUCACCUAUUUAGCAAAUGGAAAUUUCUUUAAGAACAGAUGAGACUUACUACCUGGUGGUAUGAGGUUUAAUGGGGGUUGAGGAGGGUGUUUAUACCAUUUUUGCAUUUUUAAAAUGAGAAAUUUGGAUCAGCUACAUUUUAUAUAUCUAAUGAGAUGACAUUUUAAUUGUAUCUUGAUUACUCUCCCUUUAUAAAAAGGCAAACAGUAUCGUGCUACUCUAUUCGUUUUUAAAAAAUCAAAUUAUAUAUUCAGAAUUACAGACUUAUUCUCUAACAUGGAGAGCUAGACUUAGGAGCACAGAAAUUUCUGCAUUAAUUUAAGGUAAUUAUCUGGACUAUUCAGUCCCUUGGAGUCAUUCCAUAUUGGAU